AGAAUCCUAGGGUGUUCGACAUACCUGCCAUUUUGAUCCUACAUGUAUUAAUAGGGAUUCCUAUAUCUCUGAAUGAAUGACAAGCCAUCUUUGCAGUGGACGUCAGAAAUACAGAUGCGGUCACCCACCUAGCCCUGCUAGGUAUCAAAAUUGCAGAAACGGCAUUUUGGGUUAAUU
rnacentral:other from 1 species